rnacentral:rRNA from 1 species
GCCGCGCCGUAUUAGCUAGUUGGUAAGGUAACGGCUUACCAAGGCAACGAUACGUAGCCGACCUGAGAGGGUGAUCGGCCACACUGGAACUGAGACACGGUCCAGACUCCUACGGGAGGCAGCAGUAGGGAAUCUUCCGCAAUGGACGAAAGUCUGACGGAGCAACGCCGCGUGAGUGAUGAAGGUUUUCGGAUCGUAAAACUCUGUUAUUAGGGAAGAACAAAUGUGUAAGUAACUGUGCACAUCUUGACGGUACCUAAUCAGAAAGCCACGGCUAACUACGUGCCAGCAGCCGCGGUAAUACGUAGGUGGCAAGCGUUAUCCGGAAUUAUUGGGCGUAAAGCGCGCGUAGGCGGUUUCUUAAGUCUGAUGUGAAAGCCCACGGCUCAACCGUGGAGGGUCAUUGGAAACUGGAAAAACUUGAGUACAGAACAGGAAAUGGAACUCCAUGUGUAGCGGUGAAAUGCGCAGAGAUAUGGAGGAAAUUAAUCCCCAAAUGUUACUUUCUUGUUCUGUAAUUUACACAUGAUAUGU